AUCAGAUGUCCAGUUAUGUAAUCCUGUACUAGAGAACAAUGAUCCACCGACCCGGUUCUGUGCAGACCCGCGGGUCCUGGAGACUGUGUGCAGAACAUGCGGGUACCUGCAGGAGUCUCCAGCGAGUGUUCAGAUCCUCGACUCGCUCCAGGUUGGAAGGCGACAGCUGGAUGUUGAUGGGAUCAAAGGCGGACGCCAGCUGGUUCAUACGCUGAAGCAGCUCAGGUGUGUGGUUACCUCUGGACUCUGUCCAGGAUGUGUCUGGAGGAAGCUCCGACAGGAAGGCGGACACGUCAUCCAGAGCUUUGAUCACAUCGGGCUCCUUCACCCUCAGCUCCCUCCUGAAGCCCUGAAAGAACAGCUGAUGUUCAGGGCUGUGGUGCAGAGUGCUGGUGGGGGUUCAAGGCUGGGUAGGACACUUCCUGUUUGUCCUUCUCUAAACAUCCAACAGUAGAACUUUUCCUCACAGACUCUGAGGUCAGUACUUAACCACAUGCCCAGACUGCAGAACCUCUUACUCUGUGUGUUUCCAGCUGUGCCUGAACGGCGGGGACAUCGCCCCCUACUGGAGCCUCCUGCUCUAGCUGCUGGGCCUUCAGUCGGAUCCAGUUCAGCAGCUCCUGCAGGUUCAUGUGGACCCUCCUCCACGGAGCCAUCUCUGAGUCCAGCUGGGACCUAAAACACCAACAGUGGUAGUCCCGGUUCUGCUGCUCACGUUCCCCUCCAGGCGCCGGUCGGACCGAGCUCACCUCAUGCUCAGAGUCUUAUUGUUCAGGUCGUUCCAGCGCUGCCUCAUGUUGUCCAGACGUCUCUGCAGCAGAACUUUGUCCUCCGACUCGCCCAGCGACGACACAAUCCGCCGGCCGUUCUCGUCCAGAGAGUGGUACAUCUCCGUGUGGCCGUCGAUCUCCGCCUGCAGCUCCUGAGGGCGGACCCAGACCCGGACAGGUGAGUCAAACAGAAGAACAAGAGAAUUAGAGCUUUGUAGAGGUCUGAGAGGGAAAGAAACAGAGACGACUGUAAGAAGAACCAAAAAGAAGACAAAGAUCAGAGAAUCCUCUCUGCAGUCUGGAUCCA
rnacentral:lncRNA from 1 species